rnacentral:lncRNA from 1 species
CCCCAGUAGAGAGAAUUACUGCUAGUCUUCUGUCUGCCUUCCUGGUCUUUUUUUCCCAUAGUAAAAUAUACUUAAUAAAGCUAUGAAGGGGCCAGGGAUUUAGCUCAGUGGUUCUGGCGCCUGCCUCGCAAGUGCAAGGACCCAAGUUCGAUCCCCAGUACCAAAAAAAAAAAAAAAAAGCUAUGAAGGCAUUACUAUCCUUUUUAGGGGCAGUGUUAGUUAGAAAAGAGGAAGGAUUUUGGAAUAAGACUUGGAUUUAAAUCUUCAUUUCCUCUUAUUAGCUAAGUGACUUUGGGCAAGUUAUUUCAUUUCUCUCUGUCAUCAUUUUCUGUCUUUAAAAUGGAAAUAUUACUUCAUUGGGUUUUGCAAUAAUCUAGUGUAUGUAAUGUCCUCGUUUGUAGCAGCUGCCACACAGUAAAUACUCAAACUAUAACUUUAAAAAGAAAUCAAUUUUUGUAACACAUUUUUGUUAGUUAGCAACAUAUCAUGCAGCAAACAUUUGGUGAGUAAGUAUGAUUUGGGGAUCCUGUGUCCUUUGCUGUCCUUGUUUAUUUUGACAGCAUUUUUAAUGGCUGUGUAGUAUUUCAUUAUCAGGAUGAAUCUAAGUGUAUUUAGUUUUUAGUGGACAUUUAUUUUUUGCAGGUUUCUACAUACUAUUGAUAAUGCUGAAGUGUUUUUUUGCAAGGUUGUAGCUAAGUUUUCCCCAGAUCUCUGUUUCAUUAGGAUCCAUUCCAGGAGGGUGAACAAGAAUGCAUGCUUUGCUGUCUGCUGAUGCAGGGCUAAAUUUCACAGGGAAAAAUGCCCACUUCUGUUUGUGAAACUUUGCUGUACUUUGACGUUGAUGGUGACAAAAGAAAUCCAAGACAUAAUUACGCUGUUUGGAUGGCUGACCCAAACCUAGUAUCACGAAGAACAAGAAGCAGCUCUCAGAUUUGAGAAGAGGGGCCGUGGAGGACACUGGUGUUGGCUGGAUUGCAUGUGUCAUCAUCACUAUGAAUGAUGUUCUCAGCCAAGAGAGAACCUUGAUUACCUGCAUCCAAUCCAGCUGAGACCUUUGACGAUAUAGGCUCACCUCUCUCAGGUGAAGAUGAAAUAAUAUAAUUUGUUUACUACUCCAGUUAUUUACCACAGGCUGUGGAAAAUAUAUUUUGAAUUUAAAAGUGUGAAAAACAAGUGUGUUAGCUAUCAAAAAAGCUCUCCCCUCAAAGUAAACAUGUUUAUAGAGCAAGACUCAAAACAAAAUACUUGAUUGUGAUAAACCUGGCCAAUCAAAAGAGAGUAAACAUGUUUACUACAAAAGCCUUAUAAAGAACCCAGAUGGCAACCAGCGCUCUGCUCACUUGUCCUUCCAGGGAGCUUCUGAGGUUCCCCUGAGCCUUAGAGACAGGGAUACCACCUUCCCUGCUAGCAGGUGGCUUGCCUUGCACAAGUCCUGCUCACUCAGCUAAAUCGGGUUACUACCGUCUUUCCCCGAAAAAACCAUGGCAGUGGAAACUGGAGGCUCAUGUCUGUGUCACUGAAUUAGACCCUUGAGUGAAACAUUUGUGAAACUGAACCUGAAGUUCCCAUGAUGUUUAAAUAGCAACUUGUCAUAGAUGCAAUGCAUGUCAGCUUCUUGGCUGCCAAAACAGCCCCACAUUAAUGUCACAUAUGAUGACCUUCUGUGUCCCUUUUAUUGUAAU